rnacentral:piRNA from 1 species
UNCCAAUGGGUAUAAGGAUUCAGUUUAGCUA